rnacentral:rRNA from 1 species
UACAGAGGGUGCAAGCGUUAAUCGGAAUUACUGGGCGUAAAGGGCGCGUAGGCGGCCUGCUAAGUCGAACGUGAAAUCCCUGGGCUCAACCCAGGAACUGCGUCCGAUACUGGUUGGCUUGAAUCCGGGAGAGGGAUGUGGAAUUCCAGGUGUAGCGGUGAAAAUGCGUAGAUAUCUGGAGGAACACCAGUGGCGAAGGCGACCACCUGGACUGAUACUGACACUGAGGUGCGAAAGCGUGGGGAGCAAACAGG